UAACUCAGUGGUAGAGUAUUUGCCUAACAUGCACAAGAUCUUAGGUUUGAUUCCUAC
rnacentral:tRNA from 1 species